rnacentral:rRNA from 1 species
CAGCAGCCGCGGUAAUACGUAGGGUGCAAGCGUUAAUCGGAAUUACUGGGCGUAAAGCGUGCGCAGGCGGUCUGUCAAGUCAGAUGUGAAAUCCCCGGGCUUAACCUGGGAACUGCAUUUGAAACUGGCAGGCUAGAGUCUUGUAGAGGGGGGUAGAAUUCCAGGUGUAGCGGUGAAAUGCGUAGAGAUCUGGAGGAAUACCGGUGGCGAAGGCGGCCCCCUGGACAAAGACUGACGCUCAGGUGCGAAAGCGUGGGGAGCAAACAGGAUUAGAUACCCCUGUAGUCCCUGUCUCUUAUAC